rnacentral:rRNA from 1 species
GACUACAUGAAGCUGGAAUCGCUAGUAAUCGCGAAUCAGAAUGUCGCGGUGAAUACGUUCCCGGGUCUUGUACACACCGCCCGUCACACCAUGGGAGUCGGAAAUGCCCGAAGCCGGUGACCCAACCAAAAGGAGGGAGCCGUCGAAGGCAGGUCUGAUAACUGGGGUGAAGUCGUAACAAGGUAUC